GACGAACGCUGGCGGCGUGCCUAAUACAUGCGAGUAGAACGCUGAAGAGAGGAGCUUGCUCUUCUUGGAUGAGUUGCGAACGGGUGAGUAACGCGUAGGUAACCUGCCUGGUAGCGGGGGAUAACUAUUGGAAACGAUAGCUAAUACCGCAUAAAAUGGAUUAUCGCAUGAUAAUCCAUUGAAAGGUGCAAAUGCAUCACUACCAGAUGGACCUGCGUUGUAUUAGCUAGUUGGUGGGGUAACGGCUCACCAAGGCGACGAUACAUAGCCGACCUGAGAGGGUGAUCGGCCACACUGGGACUGAGACACGGCCCAGACUCCUACGGGAGGCAGCAGUAGGGAAUCUUCGGCAAUGGACGGAAGUCUGACCGAGCAACGCCGCGGGAGUGAAGAAGGGUUUCGGAUCGUAAAGCUCUGUUGUAAGAGAAGAACGAGUGUGAGAGUGGAAAGUUCACACUGUGACGGUAUCUUACCAGAAAGGGACGGCUAACUACGUG
rnacentral:rRNA from 1 species